rnacentral:rRNA from 1 species
UGGGGAAUAUUGCACAAUGGAGGAAACUCUGAUGCAGCGACGCCGCGUGAGUGAAGAAGGUCUUCGGAUCGUAAAACUCUGUCCUUGGUGACGAAAAAAAUGACGGUAGCCAAGGAGGAAGCCCCGGCUAACUACGUGCCAGCAGCCGCGGUAAUACGUAGGGGGCGAGCGUUGUCCGGAUUUACUGGGCGUAAAGGGUGAGUAGGCGGUAAUAUGUGUCAGAUGUAAAGGGCUAUGGCUUAACCAUAGUUGGCAUUUGAAACUGUAUUACUUGAGUGCAGGAGAGGUAAGUGGAAUUCCUAGUGUAGCGGUGAAAUGCGUAGAUAUUAGGAGGAACACCAGUGGCGAAGGCGACUUACUGGACUGUAACUGACGCUGAGUCACGAAAGCGUGGGUAGCAAACA